rnacentral:rRNA from 1 species
GGGAAUAUUGCACAAUGGGGGAAACCCUGAUGCAGCGACGCCGCGUGAAGGAAGAAGUAUCUCGGUAUGUAAACUUCUAUCAGCAGGGAAGAGAUUGACGGUACCUGACUAAGAAGCCCCGGCUAACUACGUGCCAGCAGCCGCGGUAAUACGUAGGGGGCAAGCGUUAUCCGGAUUUACUGGGUGUAAAGGGAGCGUAGACGGAUGGACAAGUCUGAUGUGAAAGGCUGGGGCUCAACCCCGGGACUGCAUUGGAAACUGCCCGUCUUGAGUGCCGGAGAGGUAAGCGGAAUUCCUAGUGUAGCGGUGAAAUGCGUAGAUAUUAGGAGGAACACCAGUGGCGAAGGCGGCUUACUGGACGGUAACUGACGUUGAGGCUCGAAAGCGUGGGGAGCAAACAGGAUUAGAUACCCUGGUAGUCCACGCGGUAAACGAUGAAUGUUAGGUGUCGGGUGAC